rnacentral:rRNA from 1 species
GGGCCGCACGCGCGCUACACUGACGGAGCCAACGAGUUCUAUCCUUGGCCGAGAGGUCUGGGUAAUCUUGUUAAACUCCGUCGUGCUGGGGAUAGAGCAUUGCAAUUAUUGCUCUUCAACGAGGAAUUCCUAGUAAGCGCAAGUCAUCAGCUUGCGUUGAUUACGUCCC